AUUGAACGCUGGCGGCAGGCCUAACACAUGCAAGUCGAACGGUAACAGGAAACAGCUUGCUGUUUCGCUGACGAGUGGCGGACGGGUGAGUAAUGUCUGGGAAACUGCCUGAUGGAGGGGGAGAACUACUGGAAACGGUAGCUAAUACCGCAUAACGUCGCAAGACCAAAGAGGGGGACCUUCGGGCCUCUUGCCAUCGGAUGUGCCCAGAUGGGAUUAGCUAGUAGGUGGGGUAAAGGCUCACCUAGGCGACGAUCCCUAGCUGGUCUGAGAGGAUGACCAGCCACACUGGAAGUGAGACACGGUCCAGACUCCGACGGGAGGCAGCAGUGGGGAAUAUUGCGCAAUGGGCGAGAGCCUGAUGCAGCCACGCCGCGUGUAUGAAGAAGGCCUUCGGGUUGGAAAGUACUUUCAGCGGGGAGGAAGGGAGUAAAGUUAAUACCUUAGCUCAUUGACGUUACCCGCAGAAGAAGCACCGGCUAACUCCGUG
rnacentral:rRNA from 1 species